UAUCGCAAUGUAUGGAUAAUAUAUAUGAAUAUUAAAGCGACGUGGGGAAAGAGUCUCGUCGAGGGGGCUCCUUUUGGGGAGAGGACAAAGAAGAAAGUGGAAACAAUCUGUUAAAAUAUUUUCCCAUUCAUAAAAUGGCAGAGGGUUAUCCACCGCUCUAUUUCUGCGUCUGACUGCACAGCUAAUGCGUUAUUGCCAGCUUCAAAAAGAUAAUUGUAGUGUCGGUAGAGACCUAAUAAUACAGCAGCACAUGUAAUUUUAAACAACACCUCAUUGUUUAUUGGGAUGUAACUUUCCCAAAGUUUAUUUGUGGCGUUAAAGAGAUUUUCAAAGCGCAGAACAAAUUGCAAAUGAGCAGCUGUGGGGCGAUGCACGUUUUGUGCGGCUCCAAGAGUUUCUAUAUUUAGUGGCAAGCUGAAUCUGAAGAGGAUUUAAAAUAAUAAUAAUAAUAAUAAAUUGAGUAUCUGUAAGGAAAUGCUUAUUUCCUCCUGGAGGAGGGGGGAUCCGGGCUGGGGAAUCUCCAAGCUUGGAUUUGCAGUUUUCUAAGGGAGAAAUAAUUACGCUCUGUGUGUCUUUGCCUUGCGAGUUUCACAACCGUACGUACACCUGCUCCAUAGGCUCAGAAAUAACCUUUUCAUCCAAGAAGUUAACGAAGGGGUCGGGCAUCCGUACGAGGGGCGGUGUCGUGAUUUAUGUGUUUUUCCAGGAAUCCAAAGGCUUUGUAAGGGCCACCUGUGCAUCGUGCCUGGCUGUGCCGGGGGUUACCCGCUGGAAACCAUCCCAGCCCUGUAGAGAAGUUCACACAACAGUCGGCUUCUCCAGAGAGAUCCGAUACCAGCGCAGGGUGCCCACGCCCAGGGAUCUCUAUUGCCAGGGUUUACAAUGCCGCAGGCACUGGGAAAGGCAGAGCAAGCAAACCGGACCGGGUACGCUUCCCUCUGGGAUUUUUAGUGACAUCUUUAGGCAGAAGCGUUGGCUCUUGUGCAGAUUUGAGUUCUUACAACCAACUUCUGCGUUAUACACAGGGCUGUUAUAGAGUCAUAGGAUCAUUUAGGUUGGAAAAGACCAUAAGAUCACAGAGUCCCAACUUUAAAUCUUUAUACUCACUCCUUGCAUGUUAUGAAGUUGUCUGUAAAAUUAGGAAAGGCAGAGACAUGGAAAGUUACUAAUCACAGUGGAAGGGUAUUACUGUUUAUUCCCUAAAAUUUCAUUUAGUUCAAAGUUAAUGGGAUUAAAAGUGGGGUUUCUAAAAUAGCUGUAGCAGUGCCUGUCCUUACUAUGAAGAGCAUAGACCUUACCACAUUUUAAAUACCUAAUUUAGGGCUGUAAAGGGUAAUUUUUUACAGCAGAAAACAGAAGUUAGGAAAACUUGUGAUGGAAAACUUUACUACUCUGCAUACGCCUUCGUGUGCGCUCUGGGUCAGCAGGGCUUGAACUGCGUUGAAAACAAGAGUUUGCAGAAGAGAUUUGCAGAUGAAUUCAGCACGACACACAUGAUGCCAGAGGAGCAGUAAUAAACCUGCACCUGUUCCCGUACCCGCCUUGCCAGUCUCGAGCCUAGGUACAGAGCUGGGCUGGUUUUCUGGCUGAAAAGGCCACUUGGAUUUAUUGUGUUUUCCCUUCCCAGAGCUUUAGCAUGGAUAAGAAAUGUGAAAAAAAGGACUUAAGUGCUUAAA